GUCUACGCCAUGCCACCCUGAACAAGCCUGAUCCUGUCUGAUCUCGGAAGCUAAGCAGGGUUGGGCCUGGUUAGUACUUGGAUGGGAGACCACCUAGGAAGACCAGGUGCUGUAGGCA
rnacentral:rRNA from 1 species